AAAAGUUAGAAGAGUGAGAGUCAAUGUGAGUUUCGCGCGAAGAAAAAAGUGACGAAGACAGUGGCGAUUCGCAAUCGCUGAUCAGUGUCAUAAAAUUGUUCAUUGUGUGGGCGUUUGGACGUCGCUUGCGGUCGCAAGUUCUUCUUGAUCUGUGGUAGCAUCUUCGCGGAGGAGGAAGACCAAGCUUUAGACGUUAGUGAUUCGAUUCUGAAAGAUGGCAACUACACAUGUUAUACUGUAGAAACAACAGCACUAGCUGCCGCACCAGGACAGAAUGCACCUGCAGCAGAGCCAGAACAGAUCCCAGCACCGGCACAACAGCCCACAGAGAAGGUGGCACCAAUUAUUCCACCUCCAAUAAUGCAACCUCCAGGACAAUUAGCAGCAAUAAGGCCAGCUCCAAUUAGACCUCCAACACACAUUAGGCCACCUAACAGCAAGAAGCCCCCGAAAGUAACCCAAAGAGGCCGCCACCAACUCUCCUAAACGACAUCAGGCUUCCUUCAAUGAGCAACCCAUCAAUAAGGCCUAGUGUGAGCUAAGAAACCAUGAUAGGUGCUAGUGUUGAAACUGCUACAAGGUUCGUACAAUUUAUGUCAACCCCAGGAUUAAGGAUACCAACAAAUGGAACAUCAAGUGGCAGUAACAAUUCCACCCCUAAUUAGGACCCUGCUCAUAUUGGAAUUAGAUUUGUCUCCUAUUUUGAACAUAGAUUAGAACAACAAGAUUUAGAUUUUUUUUUUUGUGGUUUUCAUAAUUACUAUGGAUGUAUAGACCAUAUAUUGUUACACCAUUUUGGUACUUAUUUUGAUCUUUUGGUAUUAGGGUCUUGAUGUGUGAACCACUGUCAUGAUGCUGAUAUUCAUACUUAUGUGGUUAUAGUCAACUUAGUUGUAACUGUCAAAUUGAUGUAUGCCCAUUGGCUUGUUGGUAUUAAUAUUAGCUUAAUGUUAAAACUUUA